rnacentral:tRNA from 1 species
GUGAACGUAGUUUAGUAAAAACACUAGGUUGUGAUCCUAGAGAAGGGAGAUGAUUUCUCUUCGCUCACC